AGCUUGGCCAUGGCCGAGGGUGAGUGCCUGAGCCGCGGGGAGGUAGAGUCGGGAGCAGGCUGGACUAUCUCCAAGUCCCCAGAGCAGAGCGACAGAGCUGAACCUGGAGAGGUGCGACUUGGAGAUACAGGCCAAUGGCCGUGAUCACCACACGGCCGACCUGUGCCAACAGAAACUGGUGCUGCGGCGAGGCCAGCGCUUCCGGCUGACACUGUACUUCGAGGGCCGUGGCUAUGAGGCCAGCGUGGACAGACUUACAUUUGGUGCCGUGACCGGCCCAGAUCCCAGUGAAGAGGCAGGGACCAAGGCCCGAUUCUCACUGUCUGACGAUGUGGAGGAGGGAUCCUGGUCAGC
rnacentral:lncRNA from 1 species